rnacentral:rRNA from 1 species
CGCGUAGGCGGCUUGGUCAGUCGGAUGUGAAAGCCCCGGGCUUAACCUGGGAAUUGCAUUCGAUACUGCCAGACUAGAGUGUAGUAGAGGGAAGCGGAAUUCCAGGUGUAGCGGUGAAAUGCGUAGAUAUCUGGAGGAACAUCGGUGGCGAAGGCGGCUUCCUGGACUAACACUGACGCUGAGGUGCGAAAGCGUGGGGAGCAAACA